AUUGAACGCUGGCGGCAGGCCUAACACAUGCAAGUCGAGCGAGCGGCGGACGGGUGAGUCAUGCCUGGGAAUUGCCCAGUCGAGGGGGAUAACAGUUGGAAAAGAAUGCUAAUACCGCAUACGAUUGGAUUGCCCAGGUGGGCUUAGCUAGUUGGUGAGGUAAUGGCUCACCAAGGCGACGAUCCCUAGCUUGUCUGAGAGGAUGAUCAGCCACACUGCAACGUAGACACGGUCCAGACUCCUACGUGAGUGAGCAGUGGGGAAUAGGGCACAAGGGGGGAAACCCUGAUGCAGCCAUGCCGCGUGUGUGAAUAAGGCCUUCGGGUUGUAAAGCACUUUCAGCGAUGAGGCGUUACUCGCAGAAGAAGCACCGGCUAACUCCGUGCCAGCAGCCGCGGUAAUAC
rnacentral:rRNA from 1 species